GCAGGGGAUCUUCGGACCUUGCGCGAUUGAAUGAGCCGAUGUCGGAUUAGCUAGUUGGCGGGGUAAAGGCCCACCAAGGCGACGAUCCGUAGCUGGUCUGAGAGGAUGAUCAGCCACACUGGAACUGAGACACGGUCCANACUCCUACGGGAGGCAGCAGUGGGGAAUAUUGGACAAUGGGCGCAAGCCUGAUCCAGCCAUACCGCGUGGGUGAAGAAGGCCUUCGGGUUGUAAAGCCCUUUUGUUGGGAAAGAAAUCCAGCCGGUUAAUAUCUGGUUGGGAUGACGGUACCCAAAGAAUAAGCACCGGCUAACUUCGUGCCAGCAACCGCGGUAAUACCAAAGGUGCAAGCGUUACUCGGAAUUACUGGGCGUAAAGCGUGCGUAGGUGGUUGUUUAAGUCUGUUGUGAAAGCCCUGGCUCAACCUGGAACUGCAGUGGAUACUGGACGACA
rnacentral:rRNA from 1 species